UCUUUGAUUUUGUUGCCGUUGAAGAUGGCUCCAGUGACUCAGAAACAGAAGAUUUUCACUCUAAAGACCAGUCUGCCCCUACAGAUAAGGAUGUGGUUUCAGGAAACUUGGACACGGAGGAUUCAGAAGAAAGGGCUACUCUUUCAAGCAGGACUGACCUCUCGGAGAAGCCUGUUGAAGACACCAAGAAAUUGCCAUUCGAUCCAAAAAGGAAACCCAAAAGGCCCUGGUUCCAAAGAGAGGGGGAGAUCAUUGAACAGCAUUUAAGAGAUUCCUGAAGGAAAUGAAGAUCCCUGGCAAACUAGACUGUGAGAAAUGCUUACAUGAAAACAAUAUUUUAAAGGAUAAUGGCAGAGAUUGGAAAGCUGUGAAAUAUUUUGUUCACAACAGAAUCACUUCUAUGAAAAAAAAAACAUUUGAGUCAGGGGUAUUGAAACAAUAAAUACUGAGAGCUCGCAUUGUGGAUGAUCAGUGUUCAAUGUCAUUCUGGGAGCUCGCAUAUGGAGUAUCAAUGUAGAGUGUUAAUACUGAGAGUCCAGUAAAAUGGAGCAUUCAGUGUUAGAUUCAUAGCAUU